CACGUAGGGCGCAAGCGUUGUCCGGAAUUAUUGGGCGUAAAGAGCUCGUAGGUGGUUUGUUACGUCUGCUGUGAAAACCUAGGGCUUAACCCUGGGCUUGCAGUGGAUACGGGCAGACUAGAGGUAGGUAGGGGGAGAUUGGAAUUCCUGGUGUAGCGGUGGAAUGCGCAGAUAUCAGGAGGAACACCGAUGGCGAAGGCAGAUCUCUGGGCCGUUACUGACGCUGAGGAGCGAAAGCGUGGGGAGCGAACAGG
rnacentral:rRNA from 1 species